GGAGCAAGUGAUGCAAGUAAACGAUUAUGGAUGGGAAGAAAUGCAAUAGAUGAAAAUGAUUCAAUUGGUAUGGAUUGGAAGGAAUGGACAAAGUGCAUUAAUGUUAUGCACUAGAGAAAGGUGCAAUUGGUGAUGGUCAAUAAGGAACUAAUCCAAAAUUGAUUUUGAGGAUUUUGCCAAUGGUUAACAUGCUUGGACUGGGUGCAAAGACACCUCAGGCAAGAGGCAACAUAGGCGAGGGGCAGAUUGCCUCAAGCACCAACAGGUGGGCGACAUGCAUGGCCAAGGCUCAACCAG
rnacentral:misc_RNA from 1 species